rnacentral:rRNA from 1 species
GGAGCCGUAGCGAAAGCGAGUCUGAAUAGGGCGUUUAGUAUUUGGUCGUAGACCCGAAACCAGGUGAUCUACCCUUGGUCAGGUUGAAGUUCAGGUAACACUGAAUGGAGGACCGAACCGACUUACGUUGAAAAGUGAGCGGAUGAACUGAGGGUAGCGGAGAAAUUCCAAUCGAACCUGGAGAUAGCUGGUUCUCUCCGAAAUAGCUUUAGGGCUAGCCUCAAGUGAUGAUUAUUGGAGGUAGAGCACUGUUUGGACGAGGGGCCCCUCUCGGGUUACCGAAUUCAGACAAACUCCGAAUGCCAAUUAAUUUAACUUGGGAGUCAGAACAUGGGUGAUAAGGUCCGUGUUCGAAAGGGAAACAGCCCAGACCACCAGCUAAGGUCCCAAAAUAUAUGUUAAGUGGAAAAGGAUGUGGCGUUGCCCAGACAACUAGGAUGUUGGCUUAGAAGCAGCCAUCAUUUAAAGAGUGCGUAAUAGCUCACUAGUCGAGUGACACUGCGCCGAAAAUGUACCGGGGCUAAACAUAUUACCGAAGCUGUGGAUUGUCCUUUGGACAAUGGUAGGAGAGCGUUCUAAGGGCGUUGAAGCAUGAUCGUAAGGACAUGUGGAGCGCUUAGAAGUGAGAAUGCCGGUGUGAGUAGCGAAAGACGGGUGAGAAUCCCGUCCACCGAUUGACUAAGGUUUCCAGAGGAAGGCUCGUCCGCUCUGGGUUAGUCGGGUCCUAAGCUGAGGCCGACAGGCGUAGGCGAUGGAUAACAGGUUGAUAUUCCUGUACCACCUAUAAUCGUUUUAAUCGAUGGGGGGACGCAGUAGGAUAGGCGAAGCGUGCGAUUGGAUUGCACGUCUAAGCAGUAAGGCUGAGUAUUAGGCAAAUCCGGUACUCGUUAAGGCUGAGCUGUGAUGGGGAGAAGACAUUGUGUCUUCGAGUCGUUGAUUUCACACUGCCGAGAAAAGCCUCUAGAUAGAAAAUAGGUGCCCGUACCGCAAACCGACACAGGUAGUCAAGAUGAGAAUUCUAAGGUGAGCGAGCGAACUCUCGUUAAGGAACUCGGCAAAAUGACCCCGUAACUUCGGGAGAAGGGGUGCUCUUUAGGGUUAACGCCCAGAAGAGCCGCAGUGAAUAGGCCCAAGCGACUGUUUAUCAAAAACACAGGUCUCUGCUAAACCGUAAGGUGAUGUAUAGGGGCUGACGCCUGCCCGGUGCUGGAAGGUUAAGAGGAGUGGUUAGCUUCUGCGAAGCUACGAAUCGAAGCCCCAGUAAACGGCGGCCGUAACUAUAACGGUCCUAAGGUAGCGAAAUUCCUUGUCGGGUAAGUUCCGACCCGCACGAAAGGCGUAACGAUUUGGGCACUGUCUCAACGAGAGACUCGGUGAAAUCAUAGUACCUGUGAAGAUGCAGGUUACCCGCGACAGGACGGAAAGACCCCGUGGAGCUUUACUGUAGCCUGAUAUUGAAAUUCGGCACAGCUUGUACAGGAUAGGUAGGAGCCUUUGAAACGUGAGCGCUAGCUUACGUGGAGGCGCUGGUGGGAUACUACCCUAGCUGUGUUGGCUUUCUAACCCGCACCACUUAUCGUGGUGGGAGACAGUGUCAGGCGGGCAGUUUGACUGGGGCGGUCGCCUCCUAAAAGGUAACGGAGGCGCUCAAAGGUUCCCUCAGAAUGGUUGGAAAUCAUUCAUAGAGUGUAAAGGCAUAAGGGAGCUUGACUGCGAGACCUACAAGUCGAGCAGGGUCGAAAGACGGACUUAGUGAUCCGGUGGUUCCGCAUGGAAGGGCCAUCGCUCAACGGAUAAAAGCUACCCCGGGGAUAACAGGCUUAUCUCCCCCAAGAGUUCACAUCGACGGGGAGGUUUGGCACCUCGAUGUCGGCUCAUCGCAUCCUGGGGCUGUAGUCGGUCCCAAGGGUUGGGCUGUUCGCCCAUUAAAGCGGUACGCGAGCUGGGUUCAGAACGUCGUGAGACAGUUCGGUCCCUAUCCGUCGUGGGCGUAGGAAAUUUGAGAGGAGCUGUCCUUAGUACGAGAGGACCGGGAUGGACAUACCUCUGGUGUACCAGUUGUCGUGCCAACGGCAUAGCUGGGUAGCUAUGUGUGGACGGGAUAAGUGCUGAAAGCAUCUAAGCAUGAAGCCCCCCUCAAGAUGAGAUUUCCCAACUUCGGUUAUAAGAUCCCU